GCUGGGUGUGGUGGCACACGCCUGUGAUCCCAGCAGCUCAGGAGGCUGAGGCAGGAGGAUUGAGAGUUCAAAGCCAGCCUCAGCAAAAGCAAGACACUAAGCAACUCAGUGAGACCCUGUCUCUA
rnacentral:sRNA from 1 species